GGCAGCCGGAUAGCCGCGUCACGGAAAGGAAAAUCCGCGGAUGAGGAAAGUCCGGGCUUCAUGGAAACAAAGCACCAGAUAACGUCUGGCUGGAGAAAUCCAAGGGAAAGUGCCGCAGAAAGUUACCGCCGGACCCGUUCCGGUAAGGUUGAAAAGGCGAGGUAAGAGCUCACCGCGGAAACAGCAAUGUUUCCGGCACAGGUAAACCCUGUUUGAAGCAAGACCAAAUUAGGAGGGCUUUGAUUUUUUUUCAAGGUUAUACGGGGCGUUUCCACCCCGCUCCAGAGGUAGGUCGCGACGAGCGCGGAAGCGAUGACGCGCCCAGAUGAAUGGCUAUCGUUCCAACCUUUAUUUAUAAAGAUAGUGGAAUACAGAACCCGGCUUACAGGCUGCCUUGU
rnacentral:RNase_P_RNA from 1 species